GUUAUUUUGGUAUAGUAGCUCUAGACUCUAUUAUAGUUUCCUGAGUUGCUGUACCAAAAUACCACAAACGGGCUG
ensembl:miRNA